GGUAAAAUGGCUGAGAUAAAAGGUAAUAGAUUGUAAAUCUAUUUAGGGGAAGGGUAUUCUUUUUUACCA
rnacentral:tRNA from 1 species